rnacentral:rRNA from 1 species
CCUACGGGAGGCAGCAGUGGGGAAUAUUGCACAAUGGGCGCAAGCCUGAUGCAGCCAUGCCGCGUGUGUGAAGAAGGCCUUCGGGUUGUAAAGCACUUUCAGCGGGGAGGAAGGCGGUGAGGUUAAUAACCUCAUCGAUUGACGUUACCCGCAGAAGAAGCACCGGCUAACUCCGUGCCAGCAGCCGCGGUAAUACGGAGGGUGCAAGCGUUAAUCGGAAUUACUGGGCGUAAAGCGCACGCAGGCGGUCUGUCAAGUCGGAUGUGAAAUCCCCGGGCUCAACCUGGGAACUGCAUUCGAAACUGGCAGGCUAGAGUCUUGUAGAGGGGGGUAGAAUUCCAGGCGUAGCGGUGAAAUGCGUAGAGAUCUGAAGGAAUACCGGUGGCGAAGGCGGCCCCCUGGACAAAGACUGACGCUCAGGUGCGAAAGCGUGGGGAGCAAACAGGAUUAGAUACCCGUGUAGUC